UGGUGGAUUCAUCUGUCUGCUUAAUUGCGACAACGAACGAGACCCCAGCCUGCUAAAUAGCUACACUAACGCGAGUUGGUGGCCAGCUUCUUAGAGGGACUUGCCAAGUAAUUGGCCGGAAGAGUGGGUCAAUAACA
rnacentral:rRNA from 1 species